AUCUGGCCUAAACAUCCUAAAAGAAUCAGAUCCUGCCUGAUCUUGGGAGCUAAGCAGGGCCAACCCUGGUUUAUCCUUGGAUGGGAGACCGGCAGCCAAAGCCAGGUGCUGCAGGCC
rnacentral:rRNA from 11 species